rnacentral:lncRNA from 1 species
AUGCCAAUAGCCAUCUCGUUCAAGACGUUUUCUGUGCUGCGCUUUUUUCCUACGGCAACUUUCUCAAUAAAACCCCCGAAAUAUUGUAUCACUUCUUUUUCGGUGAAACCCACGAUGGCAGAAUAUUCGGGAAGAAUCGUGAGAUCACGUGCGGCGCCCGCAAAAUUUGAAAGAACAAUCCGCGUUGUACAAAUUAUAAAACAGAAGCGUGUAUUCGCAACUACGCUUUUCAGGGUGUCGGAGAAAGUUUCUAGUGUUCCUAAAAUCUGGGCGGCUACUUCCUUAUUCACUGCAAAACUUCUUGUGUAGGGUGAAUCAUAUUCAUCAAUUAAAAUGACCACCUCUUUAUUAUACUGAAAUUUCAUCCUAUUAACCAACCAGACAAGGGAAGAUGUGACGUACGAUUCAGUUAGAGAAAUAUUAUGCGAUUCUGCUACACGUCGUAAUUUCUUCAUCAUGUCAUCCUCAAAUUUGGAGAAGGAAUCAGUUGAAAUUCCCUUCGAAAAUCUAAACGAAUGACCGGAUGUUUAGGCCAACUAUUAAUAUAAUGCGAAUGGAUCUUGGUACCUCUGAAUAACUGUUCUUCACCCGUAAAGAAUGACUCCAUAGUGCUGAUCAGGAGUGUUUUCCCGAACACCGGGGCGCGACAGGAACCAAAAAGCUUGUGUUUCCUGGACCAUUUUAUAUAAGUACUCUGUCUUGUCAACGUAGCACUUGUAUUUUCAAUAAACUCGCUGAAUACUGAUUGGCCUGCCUCCGGUAGAUUUGCACAUUUGUUGGGAAGCAGUGGUUGUAGUUUGAUCGAAUUCGGCUUAUCAUCGGACGGGAGAAAAAUGAAUGGCGCACAGCUUCCAAAAUACAUACCGAUAAAUAACACAUUCACCACCGCACGAUGAAAAAACAUUGUGAAUGGGUAUUUAGUCUUUAAAAAUAUUAUUUUAGAAAUAUGUUACCGGACUGCACAGAAUACGUGAUUGAAUCGGUUUUCAGUGGCACGAAUGGUUUCUGAGAUGGCAAAAGUGAUCUCACACUUGUCAGGCGUUGAUAUUUCUGCAAUAGUCGUGGCCAGUUCCUCUGCUGGUUUAAAAGUAACGACUGAUAAUUCCAUGAGUAACGAAGAUUGUUAUGAGAAAUCAUGACGAUAAAAACAAUGAUUGACGUCAACAGAUGUCUAAAUCAACAUUUAGGAGAAAUAAAUAGUGAUAAAGUGUUGAAACUAAUCAAGAAAAAACA